GGCAAAGGAGGUCAGUUCAGCCAAUGAUCCAACAGAUUUUGAGGGGCUGUACCAGGAGAGAUGAAUUAACUUUACAGAGCAACAUGUUAUGGGCAUAUAGCAUUUCACUCACUAUUGGAAGGUGUGAAGCCAGCUCUUCAGAUCAAGCUGCUGCCAGCCAUGGGGAAUGGCACCUUGGGAGACAAUCUGCCUCUGUAUGCCUCUGUCUUUACUCAUUAGAAAGGGAAAACAGACUCAAGGUUCAGUAAAGUGCUUUGAAGAUCCCUCGAGGCAGCUAGAAUCACAGGACUAAGAUCCCCGAUUAGAUGGGAAUGCAUGCAUCAAUUUGAUAACAUUGCAGUCAGUACUGAACAGGACCACUUUCACUCCAACUCCUCCACUGUGGGAUUCUUCAGGCACCUACUGUUUUCAGACAGAUGUAUAGGUGCAUGGAUGGAUUAUUCCCACUGGAGCAGAUUGACUCCCUUCCACAUGUGAAGACUGCCUUGCACUUGUGUAAGCCCAGCUUACGGGCAUGCAGGACUCUAUUUUCUUCUUCUUGUGCUCAACUCAAAAGCCUCUCAUCCUUGGCAGCUCUGGGGGAAGUAGAAAUGCAUAUCAGACAAUGAAGAAUUGGCUGCUCUUGGCUCGCAGAGGAAGGAAAAAGCAGGCUACAUCCAUUUGAAAAGGCAGCCAUAUUUCUGCCCCAUAACUGUUCUAAUAUCAGCUUGGAAUUACUCUUCCACUUCCCAUGAUAAAUAACAACAGCAGGAGGCCCUUCAGGGUUCUGCCAUACUGACAGAGGAUACAAAACAGUUUUGGCGCAUAUAGAAUCUCAGCCAAUCCCAGUGCAAAUGAUAAUCCUCAAAUUAUUUAAACUUACAUUUUGUCUUUCCCCUAGUAAUAUCAAGAAGGUAUACAUAGUUUUCCCCCUUUACAUUUCAUAUUCGUAUCAAUCCUUUGAGGAAAAAAAGGGAGUAAGCAGCUCAAAGUUGUCCACCAAGUGUUAUGGUUCAGCAGAAACCAUAAACCAAAUUUUCCACAUCCCGGUAUAACACUAUAAUCACAAGAUGACCUUGGCUCUCUGAGACUGAGCUCUUUGACCUUUAUGUAUUAUCUGCUACAACUUGCAUAUGUGCCAUAAGCUCACCAAAGACAAUUCAUGAGAUCACAAUGCUUCCCUAUUUAUUCUUUAUAGGCCAUCUAAGGAUGUGUUACUUGGGGAUUGCUUCUUUCCUAUUUAUACUUCAGGGCCAAAUUAGGGUCACAUAAAGAGUUGGGUCUGUGCUGAUAUUGGGGGCAAUCAAUAUUUGUUCCUCAGUGGUUUCCCCCUAGUAUGCAAUCUUGGAUUUAGAUUAAAUAAAUGUGAACCUGGCAGGGAUGAAGCAAUCCAGUUUCUGAUUAAAGUUUCAAACUCUCAAAUGAGCUAAAGCUAGAUGAUUUUCCAGUGUAACCAAUGACCCUAUGAAUCAAAGUGACAAUAGCAGGGACAAUGAGCAAAAGGGCUGACCAUCUGUGAGCCAGAUUCUGACACGUCACUGAAACACUGCUAGCCCUGAAACACAGGACCAGUGUCAUCCAUACGUAUUCUCACACUUGAGGUGAAAAAUUAGAAUUAUACGAUUUAUGUAUAUGUGUUAUGGCACAAUUUUGAAUUUUCACUUCAGGUGUCAAAAUACUUGUAUGUCAAGGGUGACAUACAGAUAUCAUAUCAGGGCAAAACAGGAUUUGCACAAAGGAUAAACACAGCAAGGAGUGACAGCCCAUCACAGAUCUCAAACUGUAUAAUCCAAACACAGUUCCUGUAUUCCAACUUCACGUUCCCAUCCAAAGUUGACAAAUUCAGGAAGGUUUGUUGUAGGGUGAGUACAGAAAAGGAAGCAGCUGAAAAGACAUUUAGUCUGUCAGUUUUGGAAGAAAAACCUUUGGCUCCUCCGGCUGUGACCUGGUGGGUAGAUUCUCCUUAAAAAGGGCAGACUUUUCUGUUUUGCUGUGGCCAUGAGAAAGUGAACUGUUUCAAUGGUUUUUCUCCAGACCUCAAGGUGUCAUUUCCUUCCUCCCCUUUUCUUUCCCUGGCAAAAAUGCAUCUUUUCUCCAACACAGACCUAGAAACUGUCAAUGGGCAAUGAAUUCUAAGUGCCCAUAAACUCCAGGGGCAGUGACAGCUGGAAAUGACCUUGCAGCUGCCCGAAACCAUAACUCUCCCAGCUGGAAGUGCCGUUUCUAGGCAUCUCAAGAAGUGUGUGUGUGUGUGUAUGUGUGUGUGUGUAUCUUCAAGCUGCCUGUUGACUUCUGGCAACCUUGUGGACUUUAUAGCAUUUUAAAAGGAAAGGAAUACACAAGGUGGUUUUGCAAGUUCCUCUCUCAGGAAUAUAGCCUACAGCACCUGGUAGUUCUUGGUGGUCAUCCAUGCAAGUACUAACCAGGUCCAAGUCUGCAUAAUUUCCAAGAUCAGAUGAGAUCCCGUUCUCUCUGGGUAUUUAGAUGACUUCAUCUCAUAAAAGCUUUCAUAUUCCUGAUGUUUAAAGUGAAAUCAGCUGUUAUGAGGAAUUAUGGGGUAAGGUGGUGUCACUGAAGAGAAAAAAAAUCAUGAUCCUUCAUCCAAAUCCUUUUUUCCUAUUUACAUUAAAUGUCUAGGAAAGAAAAUAAAGAAAUAAACAUGCAGUGAACUAGA